CUAUGAAAGCUGGAGACAGCACUGCCCACAAAAGCAGCUGCAUUUAGUAUUAGGACACAGCGAAUUGAGCAUUGAAAUUAUUUUUACUGGGUAUUAUGCAGUAUCAGCAGACUAUUGCAUCACUUCUUUCUAAUAGGGCACAGCAGAGUAUUGCAGCCUGUCUUGCUGUCUAUGAUGUCAUAGAGGAUCAUAGCAGCAGUUCUUCAUGAUCUUGAAAGGGACAUCAACUCUUUAUACUGUGUUUGGAGAGAGAGGAGCACAGAGAGGUUUCACUUUGUUUUAUGAGUCUUCUGCCCGAGGAUUUUGCCUCAGGACCUACUCGUCUAACGGGAGCUGAGUAACGACAUUCCAGCAUUUGAGAUCUGGACCCCAUCUUCUAAGUUGUCUCCGGGGCUUCUAGUGACUGCAUCUUUUGCCAACAUGCGCGGCUUCCAGGAAUCCAGAAAAAAGAAAGAGCUGCGGCUGAUGAAAAACCAGAAAGCCGCCAGAGAGUAUCGACGCCGCAAGAAGGAUUAUGUGAGAGGCCUGGAGCAUCGCAUGGCCACACUGGAAGCGGAGAAUGAUAAGCUGUUGGCGGAGUUGUCGCAGUACCUUAUGGCAUAUCCUCCAGUCGUUUAGUGUCAUGACGGCCAGCACCUGAGACGAUGGACCAGCUCUCACCAUCCAGCUGUCAAGCUGUCAGUCUCACGUUCCUUUACACGAUACACACCCUUCCCAACCUUAUACUCCCUACACACAACAUUACAUUACGUGCUGGCGUUUAUUGUUUGGAAAUAAAUUGAUUAUA